rnacentral:rRNA from 1 species
UACGUAGGGUGCGAGCGUUAAUCGGAAUUACUGGGCGUAAAGCGUGCGCAGGCGGUUUUGUAAGUCAGAUGUGAAAUCCCCGGGCUUAACCGGGGAACUGCGUCUGAUACUGGAUGGCUUGAGUUUGGGAGAGGGAUGCGGAAUUCCAGGUGUAGGGGUGAAAUCCGUUGAUAUCAUGGGGAACACCAAAUGCGAAGGCAGUACGCUGGCGCAUGUUUGACACUGAAGCACGAAAGCGUGGGUAGCGAAUGGG